UGUUUAAGAGAUUAAUGGGAGACCGACCAUCUCUAAAGCAAAUGGCAAAGAAUUUGAUGGUUGGUAUCUGAGAUCCAAGUUCGAAUCCUAGUUGAUUACAUUUCUAACUAAGUUUAUUUCUAAAUGAAAUAAACGAAGCGGGUAGCGUGCUACUUAUCUCUUAAAAAAAAAAAGAUUAAUGGGAGGAUUAUGAAUUGAAAAUUUGCUGGAAAGCUCCUCUAAAGUCUCCUGUGAACUCUCAUUUAUUCUCACCUCUCUCUCUCUCUCUCUCUCUCUAUAUAUAUAUAUAGAGUUCGGCUACUAUGCUAUUAAUAGCACAAAGCAUUUGGUACUACCAAGUUUUUCGCCGUUAGAUCUAUCAUUUUGAUCACUUUCACCCAUUAGAUCAUACUAUUCAACCAACCACCCACUCAACUCUAGAGGGUCCACAUCAUCCUGAUCACACAUCUCUUAAUCCAACGGCCAAAAAUUUGGUGGCACUAAUAACUUGGUGCUAUUAAUAGCAUAGUAGCCUAGUUCUCUCUCUCUCUCUAUAUAUAUAUACUUUAAUUUGAACAUAAGACGCGGGAAUGGGCCCUACAUGUUUGUGUGCUCUUGAUAGCUGCAAGUUAGAAUUAGCUUGCUCCCAAUUCCACUCCCAUGGACAAACAGCUAAGUACAGUUACGCAUGGGUGAUUUUUUAAGAUAAAAACACCAAGGUACCUAUUUUACCUGAUUACACUAAUAGUAGAUUUUUUCUGAUAUCAGUUUGUUACAAUUAAAGCAGAAAGAUUUAGUUCGUCGAGUGUGAAAAUAUUAAAGAAAAAGGAUAAGAAGGAGAAGAAAAAUAAAACAUACAAAUAUUUACAUAUUUCGACUACUGGCCUACGUCCAUGGAUGAAUAAGUGAAAACUUUUAUUAUAAUCAAAGUGGUGCACAAAAUAUGCUUUUUUUACAAAACCCUACACACAUAUUUCUCCUCAUGCACUAAAUUAAUAGAACAAAGAUAUAUUUAUAGCAAUAGCUAAAUCUUAAUAUAAUUAGAAAUACAAAUCUACUAACAUUAGGAAUAAUCUCAAUUAGAUAAUACAUAAUUUAAACUUAACUUUAUAAAUAAUUAAA
rnacentral:lncRNA from 1 species